rnacentral:rRNA from 1 species
UACGGAGGAUCCAAGCGUUAUCCGGAAUUAUUGGGCGUAAAGCGCGUGUAGGCGGUUUUUUAAGUCUGAUGUGAAAGCCCCGGGCUCAACCUGGGAAGUGCAUUGGAUACUGGAAGACUUGAGUACGGGAGAGGGUAGUGGAAUUCCUAGUGUAGGAGUGAAAUCCGUAGAUAUCAGGAGGAACACCGGUGGCGAAGGCGGCUGCCUGGACCGACAUUGACGCUGAGACGCGAAAGCGUGGGUAGCAAACAGGAUUAGAUACCCGUGUAGU